rnacentral:rRNA from 1 species
UACAGAGGUGGCAAGCGUUGUUCGGAAUUACUGGGCGUAAAGGGCGCGUAGGCGGUCUUCUAAGUCUUGUGUGAAAUCCCUCGGCUCAACUGAGGAACUGCACGGGAUACUGGAUGACUUGAGUUCGGGAGAGGGAAGCGGAAUUCCGGGUGUAGCGGUGAAAUGCGUAGAUAUCUGGAGGAACACCGGUGGCGAAGGCGGCGUCCUGGACCAACACUGACACUGAGGAGCGAAAGCCAGGGGAGCAAACGGG